rnacentral:rRNA from 1 species
ACAGGGAUUGCCUUAGUAACGGCGAGUGAAGCGGCAAAAGCUCAAAUUUGAAAUCUGGCACCUUCGGUGUCCGAGUUGUAAUUUGUAGAAGGUAACUUUGGAAUUGGCUCUUGUCUAUGUUCCUUGGAACAGGACGUCACAGAGGGUGAGAAUCCCGUGCGAUGAGGUGCCCAAUUCUAUGUAAAGUGCUUUCGAAGAGUCGAGUUGUUUGGGAAUGCAGCUCUAAGUGGGUGGUAAAUUCCAUCUAAAGCUAAAUAUUGGCGAGAGACCGAUAGCGAACAAGUACAGUGAUGGAAAGAUGAAAAGAACUUUGAAAAGAGAGUGAAAAAGUACGUGAAAUUGUUGAAAGGGAAGGGCUUGAGAUCAGACUUGGUAUUUUGCGUUCCUUCCCCUCGUGGGUUGGUUCCUCGCAGCUUACCUGGCCAGCAUCGGUUUGGAUGGUAGGAUAAUGACAUUGGAAUGUGACACCGCUUCGGUGGUGUGUUAUAGCCUUUGUUGAUACUGCCUGUCUAGACCGAGGACUGCGUCUUUGACUAGGAUGUUGGCAUAAUGAUCUUAAGUC